rnacentral:misc_RNA from 1 species
GAAAUGCGAUACGUCAUGCGAAUUGCAAAACCAGUGAGUCAUCAAAACUUUGAACGCAACUUGCACUUCCCUUUGGGGAGUAUGUCUGUUGGAGUGCUUGUUCAUCCCCACCACAAACCCCAUUCCUUAUAAAGAGUGGGAUAAGUGAAGACCGACGAUUUAUCCCAGUCUAACUGAGAUUAAUUGAUCGUAGAUGAAUUUAUAACAAAAUAUCCGAUCCUUGUAUUCAAAUUUAUUUGAAUAUAGGAACGCGACGUCAUAGUUUUAUUACUUGAUCCCCGUGUUUCUAUUAAAGGUCUGAGGUUAUUUUUUUCGAUCGAGCCUCCAAUCAGUCAAGAAUACCCGCUGAAUUUAA